GAGUUUGAUCCUGGCUCAGGAUGAACGCUAGCGACAGGCCUAACACAUGCAAGUCGAGGGGUAACAGGGUUUUCGGACCGCUGACGACCGGCGCACGGGUGCGUAACGCGUAUGCAACCUGCCUUAUACAGUGGGAUAGCCCGGAGAAAUCCGGAUUAAUACCGCAUAAUACUAUUAAGUGGCAUCAUUUGAUAUUUAAAACUGAGGUGGUAUAAGAUGGGCAUGCGUGACAUUAGGUAGUUGGUGAGGUAACGGCUCACCAAGCCGACGAUGUCUAGGGGUUCUGAGAGGAAGGUCCCCCACACUGGUACUGAGACACGGACCAGACUCCUACGGGAGGCAGCAGUGAGGAAUAUUGGUCAAUGGGCGAGAGCCUGAACCAGCCAUGUCGCGUGCAGGAAGACUGCCCUAUGGGUUGUAAACUGCUUUUGUAUGGGAAGAAACGCAAGUACGUGUACUUGUUUGCCGGUACCAUACGAAUAAGCAUCGGCUAACUCCGUGCCAGCAGCCGCGGUAAUACGGAGGAUGCGAGC
rnacentral:rRNA from 1 species